GCCAGGGGGUCAUGCCAGCCAUUCUGGUAAAGAUUCUCCCGCACCACGGUCUGACAUGAGCGUCGUCCACCGUUACACCGAGAGUCAUCCACUUCCAUCCUGUCUACCAUGGGACUGCAAGAGAUUCACAUGAAGCUUAGAAACUGUGGUCGAGUGACUGUGCCUCCAACCAAGAAGCCAUACUGAAGCACAAGCUAGCGUCCUCACUACCAUGAUUCAAGUCAAGGCCUUGGCCAAGCACUUAUCCAUGGAGCCCUCAGUCCUUCUUAUGAAGAAGAAAUUUGUGGAAUAUCCUUGCAACCAAUACAUUCUCCAGUUUCAGCAGUAUGAAAUGAUCUUCCUUUCAUAACUCUCUCAAGCACAUUCCGAGGAUCAGCGACUACCCCAUCUAUCAGCUGAACUCGGGAAAUGAGUGUGGACAAGGGGGGGCUCUCUGAAAUGAGGAGACCCAGCAAUGGAGAAAUCAGUAGUGGGGGAUAUACCUGUUUACCAAGCCCUGAAGAAGCUCCAUUCUGAGCCUUCCUCUCAAGUGCAUUAUCCAAACAGUAGGUGGUUGCCUUGCGUAGAACAUGAAUGGGAAGAGGCCUUGUUGGGCUGAGUACUUUAAGCAGUUGUACAUGAAGGACCUUCUGAGAAGGCAGCUUCCAGCUGUUGGGUUGCAGGUAGUGAAUGCUGAUCCACCCAUUGACGAAAAUUCACCCCCUCUUGACGAGGUCAGAGAGGCCGUGGCAAAAGUUAGGGGGGAAAAAGGCUGCUGGGCAUUGGUAACAUAAGUGUGGAAAUGAUAAAAGCUGGAGAUGAGGCCAUGAUCCCCGAGUUGCAUGUGGUCUUGACUCAAUCAGUCAAUCAAUCAAUCGACUUGAGCAUAUGCUGGGGGCGUUGGGGGGUGUGUUGCCUCACCCACCCUACGACGCCAAGUCCAGGGGUCCCUCAGGGCUACUUAUAGUCUCCAUGCAGACCCCUUUCCCAUCCUGAGUACCUCCUGGCCAGAUCUAUGGACUUGCUCAAUCCACGAACUCCGUGGGCAUCCCCUUGGCCUCCUCCACUCAGGACUGUCUCUUACAGAGACAACCCACUGAGCAGGGUCAGCUUCUGGAUAACGUGCCACAUGCCAGAGUUGGCGUUGAUGGACUAUGCAGGUAAUAUAUGUCGAAUCAGUCUCUCAAAGUAGUCGCCGAUUUGACACAAAGUCAUUCCAGCAAUAUCCCAUGAUUCUACGCAAACGACUAUUACCUGGACAAGCCCCCCCCACACUUCACAGCAUUCUCAGUCUCAGAAUUCAGGCCAGUCAGCAAGCCCACAGUCCUUGCAAGAAUCCCACAGAGUCACAGAAGAUCUCAGAGUGCCUCACAAUGCACUGAGUUAAACACCUUGAGAUCGACAUAGGCUGCAAACAUCCCCUGUCGAAACUUGUUGGCAUUCCACCAGUACACAAAGCGCUAGGGUACGGUCAGUUGUUGACUUACCAGGCAUGAACCCAGACUGUUUGGGUCUCUGCAGCCUCAGCAGCUGGCUGCAAAUUCACAUCAGCAAUAGAUGGGCAAGCACCUUGCCUGGCACACAGAGCAGUGCAAUACCACGGUAGUUGUUGCAGUCCUGUUGGUCCCCUUUCCUGUUUCAGAUAGGGACGACUAACCCCCUCUUCCAGUCAGGAGGAAUGGUACCGGACUGCCAUAUGGCAGUUUUGACUGCUGUAAGGCAAUCUGGUACCAUUCCUCCUGAGUGGGGGAGGGGGCUGGUUGUCCCUAUCUAGAAAGGUAAAGGGGACCACCAGGACUGCAACAACUACCUUGGUAUUACAAUGCUCAGGGUGCCAGGCAAGGUGCUCGCCCAUCUACUGCUAAUACAGAUUUGCAACCACCUACUAAAGCUGCAGUGACCUGAGCAGUCUGGGUUAACCCCAGGUAAAUUGACAACCGACAGUGUCCUAGCGCUUCACAUACAGGUGGAACGCUGAAACAAGUUUUCAUAAAGGAUGCCUGGACCCCAUGUCAAUCUCAAGAUAGGCAUUUGAUUCAGUGCAUCACAACCCUACAAGCAGGAUCAACGUCCAAGAAGCGUGUGACAUGCCAAUAUAGCUGGAGUUGGCACUCACGCAAUAAACUGGUAACAGGCCUCGAUUCCAUUUCAUCAAGUAGUCGCUGGUUUGACACAGUCAUUCCAGCAAUACUCCAUGAUCCUGCGAAGGCACUUGGUACCAAAGGCAUCUACAAGCCUUUUCAAGACACUAAUCAGUCUCCAAAUCUCACAGCCAUACAGUAGGACAGAGAGCACAAGGAACUUAAUUCAAAUCUUUCUCUGGCUGCAUAAAUAUAAAUGCCUUAUACAUGUACUUGAGUUGAGCGAGUCCAAAACACCAUGGACCAUCAGACGAGUGACUUCUUGGUAAGACCCGCCAUUGUUAUACACUACACUACCAAGGUAUCUGAAACUUUUGGCGACUCCAACCAAUGUCCUCAGCACAUGCAUGAAUAGAUAGAAAUGUGCCAUGCAGCAAGUCUCUAGAUGAAUGACAUAGGUUGCAAGUAGCCCCUGUUGAAAAUCAAAUUAGUGUUCCACAAGAACACCAAAGUGCACAAGGAUCCAGUCAAUUGUUGACCGACUGGGCGUGAACCCAGAUUGCUCAGGUCUCUGAAACUUUAACAGAUGAAAUAGAAUUCACAUCAGCAGCAGAUGAGCAAGCACUUUGCCCACCCCAAUGAGCAGUGUAAUACUUUAGUAAUUGCUGCAGUCAUGUCGGUUCCCUAUCCAUUUCCAGAUAGGCACAGCCAGCCCCUUUUUUCCAGUUAAGAGGAAUGGCACUGAACUGCCACACUGCAGACAGCACUGCAUGCAACCUAUUAAUCAUGACUUUAUCUCUGGCCUUAAGCAUCUCUGCACUGAUAUUACACAGAUCCCAGCUGCCUUUCCAGCCUCUCUCACCUCUGUCACAGAGGGUGAAGUUUCACCUAUUGGUGGAUCAGCAGCUGCCAUCUGCAACCUGGCCAGAGGGAGCUGUCUGCUUGGGGAGUUCUGCCAUGUACACCUGCCCAAAGUACUUGGCCCAAGUGGCCCAGUACCCAUCUGCAUCUCAUACUGUCUGCCCUUCAGCCAUUUGGACUUGUCUGAGAUGUGGAUUUGGAACAGAGCUUCUCCAGAGCUUGCAAGGCAGGUCUAAGGUCGUUUGUAUUUAGACAACCCUUGACAUCCUCAACGAGACCUCUGCCACACAUCUUAUCCCUGCUCAGAAGGGUGACAGAAUCCUGUAUUGCUCUAAAUACCAAGCCAGCCUGGCAGCAUGACUCUCCUUUGUAUUCUCCAGUGUCUCCCUCAAGGCAACUCCACUCCUAGACCUUGGAUGCACUCCAAUGUGUAAUGCCCCGAUGAGCUUAUUUUCUAUCCUUCCUAUUUCUCAACACGGCCUCUGCGUGUAUCGAAAUAACACGAGAAAUUAAUCAAGACAAAGUGAGGGUAUUCCCCGGCUGCCUGGGAUUGAACCCGCGACCAGCGUGACGGGAGAGCCACUCCUUACCGAGUCGGCCAAAGAGGUACCCCACUGGCUAAGUGGGUUAUGGAAGGCUCGUUCAUCAGGCCGUCGCCGCACUACAAAUGCACUCCUCAGCAGCUUUAAGAGUUUCACAUUUAAAAGUAUUCCACAACUCUCCAGGGUUCUUCAGAAUACUGAGCACUUGAAACUGUUUUGGUUUGAGACUGCCACUGCAUACUCCUGAGCACAUGCCUGGUCCCUUAGUUUCUCAAGAUGGAACACCAGAGGGUUGUAUCUUGAAAUUUUUUUGGACCUAUUGCAUAUCCUCAGUUUUGAAAUAAGAAGUCUGUGCUCGAUUGCAAAGAGCUCAAUACUCAAGAAAACCCUACAGUUCUGAAGGAUUCUCCAACAAAUACUAACAAGGAUGUCAUCAACCUCCUAUGCCACACCACCAGCAUUGCUAUACCAAAUCCAGUACCAAGGCUCACAUCUCUGGAACCAGGAACCAGCAAUCCUCACCCUUCUGGAUUUUGCAGUUUACAUUUUUGGUGCCAGAGCCAUGGGGACCUCCACAUAACUGGUAGCCAACUCUCUGUGCCAACAGCUGCUCUGAAGACAGAAGCUUGAAGCAGAGCUUCUUCAAGGCUUAGUAAACAGGUUGGAAGCCAUUUGCAUUGAAAUGGCCCUCAACAUCCAUAGCACUGAUUAUGUCAGAGCUUUUGGAGCCAAUCAAUGACAUAGGGCAGGGUAUGACUGUAUUGCUAAAAAGUGUUAAAUUUAGGACAUCAACUUUAUGUUGAAGGCCACUAUCUAACAUGAGACAUCUAGAGCUCGAGGGGCGAACACGCCAACAUGGGGGAUUUUGAGUUUUCGCCUGUUUCCGUUAGAUGGAAGCACUGUGCAACCCUCUAUGAACGUGAAUAUGGGAAAUUGGUCUCUAUGGCAAAGUAGAAGGGUGGUGAGGGUAGAGUGUUUUUGCCUGUCUGCAGAGUGUAUGAAAUGGGCAGCAUCAGGGCUCUAAGGGCGAAGAGCACUAGUAAACUUCAUAAAACACCUAAAUAUGGAAAUUUUGUUUUGAAAUUUAAACUGGAUGUUAGUUACAUCAUGUUUUCUUAAUUUUCCGAGCUUGGAUUAAAUUGGAAAAUAAACAUGCAUUAAUAAAAUAAAAAAACACUCCGUGUUUUUUUUUUGUUUUUUGUUUUUUAAUAACACAAUUUCACACAAACACUGAUUCCAUCGAAUUUGUCUAGCUGAAAGCUUUUUAUUGAUGUAUGAUGAUACUGCUAUGUGUGUUUUUCAUUAUGCUUGACUGAUGGCCUGUAGCUCAAAACAAGGUAAUUGGCUUGUUCACCCCUUGAGCACUAGAUGCCUCAUAUUCCCAUACCGUACUGCAUGAGUAAUGCAAUGUAUAGCACCUUCAAUCAUUGAAUGUGGAGUAGCUCAAAAAAUUAUCUUCAAAAUGUGACACAAUCUGACAGAAUGGAGAUACAUGGAAUGGUUACCCUUUACAUGUUGAUGAGUAGUGGCUGUUCUUAUGAACAGUAGUGCCCAUCAAAGGCUUACCACAGUCACUAACUUUACCAACACAAGUGCUCAGAUAACACGUUUCCUACAGUUUAUCAUGCAACCUAUCACUCCACAUUUCAGGGUUAGUUUUAGGAGCUAGGAUACAAAGAUAAGUUUCAGGUAGACAAGGGAAAGAAAAUGCAUUAGCAAUAUGAAAUAAACAUGCCUCUAAUUAGAAAAAAAAAAAAAAAAAAGUCUUAAGCUUGACCAAGCAGAAGCAUAUGUCACAUUAUAUUUCACUUCAUGCUAAUCUACUGACCCAUUAGUAAAGGUACAGGAAGAGUUAAUGAACAGUGAAUGACUACUAUUUUUUUAAAAGAUCUCUAGAAAAUGCCAUAACACAGUUCUUGGCCCUACAAAUAGUGCAACAAAAGUCCUUUGCUCAAGAAAUUUGUACAGCUUCUGCAUGUAGACAAUUCUUAUUUUUAGAUUGUAGUUUCCUGCCUUCAGAAGUCUGAACUUUUUAUUCAAAUUAUAGUUUCCAGUCCAACUAUUCCAGCUUAUGGAAUUCAGAGUGCCAAACUUUUAUUGCACCAUCAUCCACUAAAUGGUUAAGCUUAGGUACCUUCUGUUUUGUAGUUUCACAAUAUCAUACAUUCAAAAUAAUCAUGCACCCAAACCGUGAUUACACACAAACUAUAUUAGCAUGCAAGAUUAUUUUGUAAAAUUAACAUUGGUGCAAGUAAAAACUUUAAAUGAUUUUCUAGAGCUGGAAAAUAUAAAAUGCCUUUACCAAAAUAUUCCCAGCACAGCCUCACAGACAGAAAACAAAGCAGAACAUAUACAGUCUAGCAGUGGAAGAAUUAGAGGUGAAUAACAUGACCAAGCGUGUAAAAGAUUGCCUUCACGAUACAGAAGUGUGGAGAGUAAUAGUUUUGGCUCAAUUUCAAAGUUCACAAACCUUUGUACAUCACAAGGUUUCAUUAAAGCAUUAUCUAAUAUAAGUGACAAGGAAUGAAAAUAAAACUUUGUACUUAUUAACACAAUAGCUUUAUUAGGAAUAGUACAUCACUCCAAGCUUUUACAAAAGCACAAACCAAAAAUAUAGAAGGCAUGUUACUGAGUUAUGGUAAAAGAUUAAUCAGUUUUUAGAACUUUCAUCUUUUACAACUUGAUCAUUUAUUCACCUCAUUCUCAGACAUAACUAACAAUAUCUAAUAAUAAUGAAUAAAUGUGAAAUUCUAAAACUACUUGGAAAAAUAAAUAAUUUUAUGAAUAACAUUGAGUCCUAUUUGAGAAACAUUUUUUUUCAAAGGAUACUAUAGUCGGUUCCACAGGAGCUGGCGGAGAUUUUCCUUCAGAGGUGGACUCGCGGACAUGGUAUCAUUGCAUGGGUGAUGGUACUGCGCGCUCAUUGGCCAAUUCUUAACUUGUUCUGAUGCACAUAAAAUUGACUUUACCAAAACCCUUUGUGAGUUAUAAGGUAACAGAUUGCACGGAUAAAAACUAAUGCAAUAAUAUCUUUAUUGAUAAGUACGUGCCUUUUGAACUACUAUAAAUCAACCUGAAAUGACAUUCAUAACAGAACUAAGUCAGAACUGCACGUAAACGGACAAUGUCCAGCGACUGAAGCUAUACUUUUUUUACUACAACAAAGUGCUUGGCUACAGUCUAAUUAACACAUCAUUUACUGUAAGAUUUCUUGGUAUAUUUUUAGGCCUGGCUUAGUCAUACGUGUAGUGAUGUUACGGAGUCAUAACAAACAUUGGCCUAAGGCAAGCACCUUCUCAUUUCUUUCAUCGUCCUAUCAUUAUUCCUGAAAUGUGUUUCUAAUAUUUGUGGGUAAUAAACUAAUAAAUAGCCAUAAGGAAGAGCGAUUAUAAGAAUAAUUACAUUUAUAUACCAAUAGUGUUGAUUUUAAAAGAGAGCGAGAGAUAGCAGGCUAUGUCAUGGCAACAGAAAAUGCCACAGCUUAGAUCUAGUAAAAAAACAGCCAAUGAGCGGCGCAAACACCAUCACUCAAGUAAUGACGCCAAGUCCGCGAGUCCACCCCUGAAGGAAAAUCCCCUCCAUCUCUCAUGGAACUGACUAUACAUAUUGUAAUCUCAAAACCAGAUGGAAGAACAUUAAUAAUACACACUACAAUACCAUAUCCACUGGAAUUAUAAAUUUCUUGACCACAAUGGGCAUAAAAAUUAAUUUUCCAAAAAUAUUAUACUACAUUAUAUAUACUGUUGACUAAUAAAAGUAUUAAAAAUGCAUUGUUAUUUCAUUACCAUAUAUGAAUAUUAUAUAUCAAAUAUCAUUAAAUAGGCAAUCCUUGCCAAGAGGAUGGCUGUGAUGCCAACAUUCCCAUCCAUGUCAACACCCUGCAUUCCUGCAAUUUUCAUAUUUCUCUCCAUUUCCCCUUACUUCUUCUCACAAUUCUCACAACUCAAAUUAAAAUCUUUUUCUCUUCAAUUCACAAAUCUCUAUCCUCUAUCUGCCUCAUCCUUACCAUUUGGUUGAGAGUAUUCGUAUUAUUGAAAUUCUCUCACAAUUACUAGCUAACAUAACUGUAGGCUGGUGUAUUACUUUUCCAUCUAUCACUGAAACAAAGAACUUGAGACUUUAACUUUCUGUGUGAUUUACUAAAACUAUUCAAAAAUUAUAUUUAGAUCUCAUCAGCUUUUACAGUGAAACCUAUACAUAUGGAACGGACACUUGCCCCAGCCUUGUCAUAAAGCCGCAAAUUUUGAAAAAUCAACUGUUUUGGUGCGAAUUGCAACUCCUUUAUUUCUGGGGCUACAGAAAAGUUAUUGGUAUCAAACGACGGAAAAAUGCAAGGGAUAUAUAUAUAUAUAUAUAUAUAUAUAUAUAUAUAUAUAUAUAUAUAUAUAUAUAUAUAUAUAUAUAUAUAUAUAUAUAUAUAUAUAUAUAUAUAUAUAUAUAUAUAUAUAUAUCUAUAUAUAUAUAUAUAUAUAUAUAUAUAUAUAUAUAUAUAUAUAUAUAUAUAUAUAUAUAUAUGCAAAUUAAAUGUAUUAUUCAUAAAUUGGAAGAAAUAUGGUUGAAUACUAAAAAUAAAAAAUUAAGAAAUGUAUAAUGAGACACUUAAUAUAGGGUAAUUUAUAUAGUGAAAUGAUUAUAUAAAAAUAGUAACUUUUUAUAUAGAUAUCUUAAAACGGUUUUAAUACAAGAUAGUCAACAUAUUGAAGUGUCCAUAUAUGAAUUUUUAUGCAGAUAUAUUAAUUUUUGUGGAGUCAGAUUCGGCGAAUGUUUAUUGCGACUUCCGGUGGAGCUCGAGCGAAAAUUACUAAAGCUAAGAAGGCGUGCUUGGUGGCAAAUGAAAGCUCUUUUAAUAUAGAUUAAAAAUCAGAAGAAAAAUUGGAAAACAUUACAUAAAUAAAAAAGUUAUAAGCAAAAAACUAAAACGUGUCCAAAUUGCAGCAAAAGGGCCACAAAACAGGCUAUUUUGUGACAGCUCGACGACAAACUUAGAAUGGAGCUAUCAAAACAUCUUUCGAGUUGGUCAAACUACAUUGCCAAGAGGGGCUACAUGGCAAAUUACAGCCUUCUAGAGGCAAUAGCAAGGCCACACUAGACAAAAACGGCAAAAUGCCUGGAGUUCGUCAAAAUCGCUCUCGACAAGAUUUAUGUUUCGAGCUCUAGCGAAAAAACUACUGGGAGUAGGGAAACGUUUUGCACCAUUUUGGAAAGCACAUUGGCAGGGCUAAAUCAUUUGUCAAAUUAGUUUUUUUGAAAUUCUCAAAAAAUGGGUGGGUCUCAAGGUUGGGAACUCAAAAAAAAAAUUUUUUUUCAUUUUUUUGCUAAUUUAUUCAAUUUUCGACCAUUUCGAGUUGGUUUUUGAGCCCCAUUGCUGAAUAUAAAAUAUAGCCCUAGCAUUUUUCCGUCAUUUGAUACCAAUAACUUUUCUGUAGCCCCAUAAAUAAGGGAGUUAUGGCGAUUCGCACCAAAGCGGUUGAUUUUUCAAAAUUCGUGGCUUAAUGACAAGGGCACCGCAAAAUCAAAGGAGAAAGACAUCCAUUACUUGAGAUGUCACAGACUUUUACUACUCCCAUGAAUUCCAAGUUUUUCACGUGUUUCUAUGAAUGACCAUGAUAUUCUAUUCAUGAGGAUACCCAUCCUUGAUGCCAAAACUUACUUAUGAACAAUAAUGUAAACAUCAAGAUCCUGGUAGACACAUAUAUGAUAUAUGCAUAUAUGACUUGUGAUGACAAGAACAUUUGAUAACAGUUAAUUAUAGAGGUCAAGGUAUCAGGCUAGUAUACCCUUUUUUAUGGCAACAAUAUCAUUAAAUACUGCCCUGGUAUAUAUUAUUAAAUUAUUUACAAAUUAUAAUAAUUUCUUGGUAAUAGGAACUUUUUUUUUGUUUGUUUGUUUGAAGGUAAUAAGGGCAGUCCAAAAGAAAAUAGCACUAUACAGACAUUACAAACUGAGCACUGCAAAAAACUUCUUCCAUUGGCCUAAUGAAACAGGAUCUUGAUGUUCGUGAAAAUCCAACCGUACACUGAUGAUAUUAGAGAAAAAGGUUGUGGUGAGCUGAACUGAGGGAAUACCCUAUGCCUAUACACUAGAUCUUCCUUCCUAUGCCAUUCACUCCCUUGGGAUCAGUUUCAAUAACAUCAGUAUGCUGGACCCUGUUCCCUACAAGCUCUUUAUGAACCACUUUUAUGGAUCAGUUACACACAACAUAUUUUCUAUGUUAGUAAUAUUAAUGAAAAGGAAUUUAACAAAGGUGAAAACAGCUAAGAAGCUGCCAUUAGUUUUGAGUUUGUAAUAACGGACAUUUUUUGCAAAUGAGAGCUUGGAAUAUGUCUGUCAGUCUCUUUCAACACCCUAUGCUAUUAUGUAAUUUGCCAAAUUAUAUUUGCUGAAAUAAUUUGUGAAUGGCAAGUGCUGUGUCUGAAAUUUGUAUACAGAAUCAUCUGAAAGAUCAUCGGACUGUAUGCUUCUUAGUUGCCAUGAGGAGAAUGGAUACAUAUGUUGACAGUCGGGUGGCUACAUGUAGGGAUCCCUCCUAACCAUUUCCAUAUUUUACA